CAUGGCCAGCAAGUGAUCUGCAACUUCAAAAAGCUGCCCACAAAGUUGCUCUUCGCCAGGUGUUUUAAUGUCACUGGAGAGACCUCUGUGACUCUGAAAGAGCUCUGAAAGAAACAUUUCAGUGUAGAGUUCAAUCACUGGUACCAAAAAAGAAAAAAUAAAAAAACAUUGCAGUGUCUUCCACUGCAUCGACCUCACUGACAAAGCCUGGGAAGAUCCCACACAGCGGACCUUCAACUCAGCCUGGAGGAAACUGCGACAGAGUGUGUCUGUGACUUUGAAGCAUCUGAGACACAGGUUAUGCAACACAGGAAAAAACAAGUGACAUUAGACGGUUUUUCAUCAAAACUGGCCCUGCAGCUAAGAGACAAAGAAGAGGGCAGACCUGUGAAGCAGAUCUCUCCAAUGUCCUUAUGGAAGGGGCUCUCCCUCCAAACAGCGACCUCUUCCCCACCCACCUUCCCGUCCUCUGUGUCAGAAGUAAUCUCAAGCAAGAUGGGGAAUCUGAGGCUCGAAGUGAUGAUGUAGCCCACAUACAGUCAUAAAACAAACACUGAGCCCGA